rnacentral:rRNA from 1 species
GAUCAUGGCUCAGGAUAAACGCUGGCGGCGCACAUAAGACAUGCAAGUCGAACGAACUUAACCAUUAGUUUACUAUUGGUAGCGGUUAGUGGCGGACUGGUGAGUAACACGUAAGCAACCUGCCUAUCAGAGGGGAACGAACAGUUAGAAAUGACUGCUAAUACCGCAUAUGCCUUAGAAUCACAUGGUUCGAAAAGGGAAAGGAGCAAUCCGCUGAUAGAUGGGCUUGCGU